AAUUAAUGAUCUUGCUAAAGAAUAUACUUUGAAAGUAUAAAAAAGAGGUAAAUCCCUCUAUUAAUUU
rnacentral:tRNA from 1 species